UGGUGGGUGGCUGUAGCAACUGUCUAGGCUUGUCUAUAAAUGAAAGCUAUAACUCUAAACUUUGAAAGCCAAGGAAACAGCAGCAGCCCUUCCACUCAGACACCUACUAGUCACCCAGCUGAAGAAAUCCGGAUUUGCAACCUCUCCCCAAUCUUCUGGAGCAGGAGACGUGAGAGAGACUGAGCAAUCGAGGGUACAAUUAAGGUUGUCCCCAAGUGGAGGUGUGAAUGGAUGCAGAUCCACAGGUUACCUGUGGUUAGAAGAGAUUUAUUAAAGAAACGGUUGUACCAAUACACCAACGUAGACAGACUCCAGGGGAACGCACCAGGUGCCCCACUGAGAAUCCGGACAUGAAACCAACUUUCAAAUUUCAAGAAAUUGACGACAAGUUCUUCUUCCAAAUUGGAAACAUUUAUUUAUUUUUUUUAAAGAGAGAAGAGUCCUUUCCCUUGACCUCUGUGUUCUUUUAUCCAACUGCCUACUGAACAAUGCUGCCAUCAAACCCAGGAAACCAAGAGGGCCAACCUGCUGGUGGUCAGUUUGUGCAACAAGUAAACCAGAACGAUUUCAGAAGUAAACAGAGAAGAUAAGCAAGAGGGUAUCCAUGUGUUUUUUUUCCUUCUGUAAAGUUCAGAUCAUGCAUCAUCUCUAAUGAGCUUGAUAAAGCAUAGCAAGGCAAAUGUGCCAUAAUUCAUCAUGUUUUCCAUUUCAAAAGUGACAGGCAACCUACGGGAAAAAAGUCUUUAUUUUGUAACAAUAAGAAAAAGGAGGCGAGAUAAUCACAUUUGAAACAAUACUGCAAAGGAACUUUUAAAAUCCACAUAAAAUAUGGAAAAUUGUCUUAUAUUGGGGUGUUGUUUGGUUAAUACCAUACCAAGACUUCUCAUUAGUGCCUGUAAGCAAAACCAUUGCUUUUUAUGUUUAAUCCAAAUCUGUGAGAAAAAUUUUAAAAAGUCUUUUCAAAAUUGGAUGGAUAAUGUGCUCUUCUUGUGAGAAAUAGCAGUGUUUGCACUUGUUAAAGAGGUACCAUUAGCUUUCCUGCUAUCCUGUUAAAUGGUACAACACAAAAUGUUGAAAGGUGUAAAUAAAAUUUAUUCUAUAAAAAAAACAUAAUGUACUUAAAGUAAUUUUCUGAGAAUGUUUGCCUAUUUCUAAAAAUGAUUCAACAAAAUAGCAUCUCAAAAAUGCAUUUCUUUUUGCUUCAAUCACUCCCUUUGGAAAUCAAUCACAUUUCCUCAUAAUAUGGACCUGAGCAUCAUAGACCUCACACAGAGAAAAGAAGAGUUGGGAACCAGCCGAAUAUAUGGGACCUAAUCACAUCUUUAAUGUCUCAAGUCAUUCUGCCUUAUCUGCAAGCAGCAGGCUGUGAAGACCUGUGAGCUGUGGUCGUAGCCUUCAAGGAGCCAGAGGUGGAAGAGCCCAAUUCAAUUCCGGGGCAUUCAGAAAGAAAAGGAAAGAGAAAUGGGAAGAACUCUUAUUGGCCAGAAGAGAGGAACACAUGUCCAUCACUGGAACCCAUAAUGUAAGCUGCUGAUUGUAUCAAUUAAAGGCCAAUUUGGAGGAAGGUGUACAGCCCUGGGCUCAUCGGCCAUCCAACCAAGGAUUAUGGCCUUGUACAGAUGGACUUACAGCUGUGUGAACUCAAAGUCACUGGAAUAAUGCAUCUUGUUACCUGAUGUCUCAGUAAAGGCAACUCAGACUGGCUGACUGAUUUCUUGGUCCUGCAGUUUCUCUUCUCCCGGGUUUCACCAUGUUUUGAAACUGCACUCAGCUAAAGAUAGUGGCAUGGGUAACUCGAAAGUCGGUGAUAGCCCAUGCUCAGACCUAAUGUGUUUUGGAUGGGAAGGGAAGAAGUUGCACCUGAUCAAUCCCCUGGGCGGUGGGAAGGUGAUGGUGGUUGGGGUGGGAUGGCUGGAACAGAGAUCCUCGGGAGGAGGGCAUCGGAUCCGGAGAAGGAAAUUCAAGGAGAACUCAACUUGAGUUUCCUUCCCCCUUUCCUAAAAAGAACUUGUAACUCUUUCCCACUUCCUUGUCAUUGUGUCACCUCUACUCAGCUCUCAACUCCUCCCCAGCCCCUCAGACCCUCCAGUAGGAUUUCUUUCAGAAAUUCACCACUAUUUGGAGAAUACAAAGAAAAUCCACUUUACAUUUGGUCUUCAAUCAGACAGCCCCAUUACCGAAUCUUCUUUUUUUUUUAGGAACAAACAAUCUUUGAGAGUCCACAAAGGAAUCACAUCUGUCUGGUUUUGUGUUUUUAAUGCUGGACACCUCUAUAUUUAACAAAUACUGAAUAUAUUUAUAGGAAUAGUUAUAUUUAU